AGAGUUUGCUUUUGGCUCAGGAUGAACGCUGGCGGCGUGCCUAAUACAUGCAAGUCGAACGCACAGCGAAAGGUGCUUGCACCUUUCAAGUGAGUGGCGAACGGGUGAGUAACACGUGGAUAACCUACCUCAAGGUUGGGGAUAACAUUUGGAAACAGAUGCUAAUACCGAAUAAAACUUCGUAUCGCAUGAUACAAGGUUAAAAGGCGCUACGGCGUCACCUAGAGAUGGAUCCGCGGUGCAUUAGUUAGUUGGUGGGGUAAAGGCCUACCAAGACAAUGAUGCAUAGCCGAGUUGAGAGACUGAUCGGCCACAUUGGGACUGAGACACGGCCCAAACUCCUACGGGAGGCUGCAGUAGGGAAUCUUCCACAAUGGGCGAAAGCCUGAUGGAGCAACGCCGCGUGUGUGAUGAAGGCUUUCGGGUCGUAAAGCACUGUUGUAUGGGAAGAACAGCUAGAGUAGGGAAUGACUUUAGUUUGACGGUACCAUACCAGAAAGGGACGGCUAAAUACGUGCCAGCAGCCGCGGUAAUACGUAUGUCCCGAGCGUUAUCCGGAUUUAUUGGGCGUAAAGCGAGCGCAGACGGUUGAUUAAGUCUGAUGUGAAAGCCCGGAGCUCAACUCCGGAAAGGCAUUGGAAACUGGUCAACUUGAGUGCAGUAGAGGUAAGUGGAACUCCAUGUGUAGCGGUGGAAUGCGUAGAUAUAUGGAAGAACACCAGCGGCGAAGGCGGCUUACUGGACUGUAACUGACGUUGAGGCUCGAAAGUGUGGGUAGCAAACAGGAUUAGAUACCCUGGUAGUCCACACCGUAAACGA
rnacentral:rRNA from 1 species